rnacentral:rRNA from 1 species
CAAGUAGUCAGAGCCCGUUAAUGGGUGAUGGCGUGCCUUUUGUAGAAUGAACCGGCGAGUUACGAUUUGAUGCAAGGUUAAGCAGUAAAUGUGGAGCCGUAGCGAAAGCGAGUCUGAAUAGGGCGUUUAGUAUUUGGUCGUAGACCCGAAACCAGGUGAUCUACCCUUGGUCAGGUUGAAGUUCAGGUAACACUGAAUGGAGGACCGAACCGACUUACGUUGAAAAGUGAGCGGAUGAACUGAGGGUAGCGGAGAAAUUCCAAUCGAACCUGGAGAUAGCUGGUUCUCUCCGAAAUAGCUUUAGGGCUAGCCUCAAGUGAUGAUUAUUGGAGGUAGAGCACUGUUUGGACGAGGGGCCCCUCUCGGGUUACCGAAUUCAGACAAACUCCGAAUGCCAAUUAAUUUAACUUGGGAGUCAGAACAUGGGUGAUAAGGUCCGUGUUCGAAAGGGAAACAGCCCAGACCACCAGCUAAGGUCCCAAAAUAUAUGUUAAGUGGAAAAGGAUGUGGCGUUGCCCAGACAACUAGGAUGUUGGCUUAGAAGCAGCCAUCAUUUAAAGAGUGCGUAAUAGCUCACUAGUCGAGUGACACUGCGCCGAAAAUGUACCGGGGCUAAACAUAUUACCGAAGCUGUGGAUUGUCCUUUGGACAAUGGUAGGAGAGCGUUCU